CCUACGGGUGGCAGCAGUGAGGAAUAUUGGUCAAUGGCCGCGAGCCUGAACCAGCCAAGUCGCGUGAAGGAUGACUGCCCUACGGGUUGUAAACUUCUUUUGUAAGGGAGUAAAGUGAGGCACGUGUGCCUCUUUGUAUGUACUUUAUGAAUAAGGAUCGGCUAACUCCGUGCCAGCAGCCGCGGUAAUACGGAGGAUGCGAGCGUUAUCCGGAUUUAUUGGGUUUAAAGGGAGCGGAGAUGGGGUGUUAAGUCAGUUGUGAAAGUUUGCGGCUCAACCGUAAAAUCGCAAUUGAUACUGGCAGUCUUGAGUACAGUUGGGGUAGGCGGAAUGCGUGGUGUAGCGGUGAAAUGCUUAGAUAUCACGAAGAACUCCGAUGGCGAAGGCAGCUUACUAACCUGCCACUGACACUGAUGCUCGAAAGCGUGGGUAUCAAACAGGAUUAGAUACCCUAGUAGUC
rnacentral:rRNA from 1 species